AAGCGCCCUCUAAAGGGGGCCUAAGAGGGCGCUUAUGAAAGCGCUCUCUAAGGCUUUCCAGAAGCGUUUUAUAAGCUGGAAAUGCACAUGGACUUAUAACAGCGCUUUAUUAAAAGCGCCCUCUAAGGGUAACUCAACUAAUCAACAGUAUGAGUAAGGAUAACUCAACUAUUCAUAAGUACAAACUUACUUUCGUCGGAGUCAAAUUAUUACACAAAAUAAGUUAAACAUUAAAUAAUUUUAAUUAAAAAUAACUAGUUAUUAAAGGUUACAUCUUGCAAGAAGUCCAAAUUUAUAUUUUUCGAUCGUGUUGUGUAACCUUGAUCAUGCUUACAAAUAUUAACAAGCAAGCAUUAUUUUAUUUAUGAUACAUAAAACAAGUAACAAGGAAUACACAUAGGAAACUACUCAUCACUCAUCACUCAUCACUCAUCACUCAUCACUCACAAGCAUGCAUACUGUUGCUAAUUAUACACAAUGAUAUAUUAACUGACUUCACAUGGUGACUUUUGAAUCUGGCAAUGGAAGCCACAAAAGAUGAUUUAUAGAAAAGAAGUGACACACUGGAGUAUUCUUCCCAGGCUUAACUUUCAGUGUCUUGAAUAUCAUAUGAUUUGGGUUCCAAUCAGCUGUAUCCAAAUGGCACAUGCCAAGAGCUUCCAUUUUAUCUCCAUUCUUAUCACCAACAAGUGUGACUUUGAACACUCUAGUCCCUGUAGCCAUGGUGUGGCAAUAGUAAACUGCAUAUGGAUAUGGGAGUGGGUGGCAAGAGACCCAUUUGGGAGCAUCAAUGUCAUGGGAUACUUUCAAAAUGGUGUAUUUCUGAAGAGGAGCAGCUGUAGGUGAAGGAUAACUAGUUCUGAGAAUAUUAUGCUUGUUUUCUGAACCAAUUAUUGUGUCAACAAAUUCAAACAUGGACUCUACAGAGUUGGCACAUAUUUUGGUCUCUCCUACGACAGUUUCUUCUUGACAAUGUUCAAGUGUGCCUCUCAUGGUUUUGGCUUCAAGAGAGUCUUCUGGGAUUGAAAAAAGUUGGAGAACACUUGAGAAUUGUGAUACUGAGAAAGGAAUUGAGUCAGCCUCUUCUUUUCUUGAAAAAAAGUGAGGAAUCUCUUGAACAGAAAAUUGGAGGGUCAUUACAUUUCCAACAUGAAGAUCCUCUAGGUUGAAAAAUCCCUUCUCAAAAGCAUCUGUGUGAUCAAUAUAAGGAUUGGGAUCAUGAGUUUUAAUUUUGUAAUUAUAUUUAGGUUUUUUGACUUCACGACUACCCCAAGGGAGCCAAGGAUUAGGAUUACGGGUAUAAACUUCUGAAUUGAAAUUAUGUUUUUUGGUUUCACGACUACCCCAAGGACGCCAAGGAUUAGGAUCACGUGUAUUAACUUCAGAAUCAUAAUUAAGUUUGUUUAUUUCACGACUACCCCAAGGGAGCCAAGGAUUAGGAUCACGGGGAUUAACUUCAGAAUUGUAAUUAGAUUUUUUGGUUUCACGACUACCCCAAGGGAGCCAAGGAUUAGGAUCAUGUGUAUCAGCUUCAGAAUUGUAAUUACGUUUUUUGGUUUCACGACUACCCCAAGGGAGCCAAGGAUUAAGAUCACGGGUAUUAACUUCAUUAUUGUAAAUAGGUUUUAUGGUUUCACGACUACCCCAAGGGAGCCAAGGAUUAGGAUCACGGGUAUUAACUCUAGAAGUUGUAAGUAAGUAGUCUUUUGGUUUCCCGACUACCCCAAGGGAGCAAGGAUUAAGAUCACGGGUAUUAACUUCAGAAUUGUAAAUAGGUUUUUUGUUUCACGACUACCCCAAGGGAGCCAAGGAUUAAGAUCACGGGUAUUAAUUCAUUAUUGUAAAUAGGUUUUAUGGUUUCACGACUACCCCAAGGGAGCCAAGGAUUAGGAUCACGGGUAUUAACUUCAGAAUUGUAAAUAGGUCUUUUGGUUUCCGACUACCCAAGGGAGCCAAGGAUUAGGAUCACGGGUAUUAACUUCAGAAUUGUAAAUAGGUUUUUGAUUUCACGACUACCCCAAGGGAGCCAAGGAUUAAGAUCACGGGUAUUAACUUCAUUAUUGUAAAUAGGUUUUAUGGUUUCAGCGACUACCCAAGGAGCCAAGGAUUAGGAUCACGGUAUUAACUUCAGAAUUGUAAAUGGUCUUUUGGUUUCCCGACUACCCAAGGGAGCAAGGAUUAGAUCACGGUAUUAACUUCAGAAUUGUAAAUAGGUUUUUGAUUUCACGACUACCCCAAGG
rnacentral:lncRNA from 1 species